rnacentral:rRNA from 1 species
UACGACUACAUAUCAGGCAUAUCAAUAAGCGGAGGAAAAGAAGCUAACUAGGAUUCCCCUAGUAACGGCGAGUGAAGCGGGAAGAGCUCAAAUUUGAAAUCUUCAAGGUUCUACCUUGACGAAUUGUAGUUUAAAGAAGUGUUUUCUGUUGGAGUUUUGGUAAAAGUUCUUUGGAAUAGGACAUCAUAGAGGGUGAGAAUCCCGUAUUUGACCAUUAUUUCCAGCUUUGUGAUACACUUUCAAAGAGUCGGAUUGUUUGGGAAUGCAGUCCAAAAUGGGUGGUAAAUUUCAUCUAAAGCUAAAUAUUGGCGAGAGACCGAUAGCGAACAAGUACCGUGAGGGAAAGACUGAAAAGAACUUUGAAAAGAGAGUUAAACAGUACGUGAAAUUGUCAAAAGGGAAGCGUUUGACACCAGUGUUGUUUUCUCGAAAAUCAAUUAAAAAAGGCUAGGAUUUUGUGUUGUAUUGACCUUGAUCAGCUUGCUUCACUCUUUUCAUUGUCUUUUUUAAUGCACUUUUCGUUUAACAAGUCAACAUCAGUUUCUUUUGUUGUAAAAGGGUCAUUGGAAGGUGGCUUUCUCUUCGGAGAAAGUGUUUAUAGCCUUUGCUCUCUGCAAUCGGAGAGAUUGAGGUCUGCAGCGUAGAUCCUUCGGGGUUAGAUACAUUUGUGCUAAGUUAUAGCCUUUCAUAGACAACUUGUUGACUAUGAUCAGUCAUGUAGCUUACUCGCUUAUGCUAUUUUACCUACGCUUAGGAUGUUGAGCGCAUGUCUCUCUCU